rnacentral:rRNA from 1 species
UAACGCGAAGAACCUUACCAAGGCUUGACAUAUACCGGAAAGCAUUAGAGAUAGUGCCCCCCUUGUGGUCGGUAUACAGGUGGUGCAUGGCUGUCGUCAGCUCGUGUCGUGAGAUGUUGGGUUAAGUCCCGCAACGAGCGCAACCCUUGUCCUGUGUUGCCAGCAUGCCCUUCGGGGUGAUGGGGACUCACAGGAGACCGCCGGGGUCAACUCGGAGGAAGGUGGGGACGACGUCAAGUCAUCAUGCCCCUUAUGUCUUGGGCUGCACACGUGCUACAAUGGCCGGUACAAUGAGCUGCGAUACCGUGAGGUGGAGCGAAUCUCAAAAAGCCGGUCUCAGUUCGGAUUGGGGUCUGCAACUCGACCCCAUGAAGUCGGAGUUGCUAGUAAUCGCAGAUCAGCAUUGCUGCGGUGAAUACGUUCCCGGGUCUUGUACACACCGA